UGAAUACGACGGGGGAGCGCCCGGCAGUGGGGCGCUGAGAGUGCGGUAGACCGCAGACCCCUGAACCUGAUCUGAGUCAUAUCAGCGUAGGGAGUCGCAACGCGUGGAUC
rnacentral:ncRNA from 2 species